rnacentral:lncRNA from 1 species
CCGGGCUUCCCUGCGGGUCGGUGUGGGCCCUGCGCUGUCUCCCGGCCCUGGGCGCUGCCGUCCUCUUCAGCUGGGGCAGAGGACAGUCACUUGGGGACCCUCAGUCUGGCCGCUGCUUCCUCCUGCUCCUCCUUCUCGGCACACUGCCAGGAACUCAGAUGGAUUCGUCCACUUGAUGAAGUUGGAGCCAGCCACGAAGCAGGUCUUUGACACCUGAGUUCUGAGGGACAUUUCAAGUCCAAGCCAUGACACGACACCAAGUUUCAGCCCAGCCUGGUCCGCGUGAUGAUGGUGACUCCUGGGAGCUCCUGGUGUGGAGGGCAGGGAGGGCUUCCUGGAGGAGGGGUUGAUGAUGGACAGUUCACUGCAGAGCCAGGAGGAAGGGAG